rnacentral:rRNA from 1 species
UACGGGGGGGGCAAGCGUUGUUCGGAAUUACUGGGCGUAAAGGGCUCGUAGGCGGCCAACUAAGUCGGAUGUGAAAUCCCCAGGCUUAACCUGGGAACUGCAUCCGAUACUGGAUGGCUUGAAUUCGGGAGAGGGAUGCAGAAUUCCAGGUGUAGCGGUGAAAUGCGUAGAUAUCAGGAGGAACACCGGUGGCGAAGGCGGAUCUCUGGGCCUUACCUGACGCUGAGGAGCGAAAGCGUGGGUAGCGAACAGG